rnacentral:lncRNA from 1 species
UGCGAUGAGCACAAGGCGACAGUACUGCUUUCUUGAUGACAGCUACCAGUGCAUGGAAAUGCUGUGAUCGGAUUACCAAAAAUUAGUGGAGGACUGAUAACAGAAUCAAGGACAGAGUGGCAUGAGGAUUCAGAGCUGCCAGCUGAGGGAUCUCCACAUCUACUGCAGAGAAGCAAAAACUAUUGGAGUUUGGAUUUUCCUGCUGUAAGUAUGGAUAUGUAAACCAAGUAUGGAUAUGUAAACCAAUAAGCAACUCUGUACAUGUUUUCCUGGAAGUUUUGUGUGAGGAGAGAAGG